rnacentral:lncRNA from 1 species
GGUCUCCUUCUGUCUUCGAAACUUGCCUGACCUCCCUCUGGUUGUCUCCUGCCCCGCCCUCUGUCUCUGUCUCCCCAUCUCUGUUGCUGUCUCUGUGUCCCCUGGGACCUUGAAAGUGGGUAUUGGGGCCCCGGGAAGGGACUUUGGCCGGACUCGGGCCCCACCCGAGUGGAUCGUUAACCCAGGAUGUGAGAAGUGGCUGUGUGGAGAGGCCUCACCCCUUCCCUUCCUUUCGACCUCUCUCUGGAUCUCCCUUAUCCCCCUUCAUGGCGAAACAUCCCGAGCACAGACCUGUGUUAAUUCCACCUCCACCCCUUGCUCCCGGUGGGACCUCAGACAAGCCAUCCCCUGCCUUGAGACUCAGUUUGUUCUUCUGGAAAAUGGGACCAAUGGCAACCCCUGCCUGCUGGUGUUGUGGGGGCCACAGCAAGGGAAGAGGGGAGGAAUUCGGUUGGACAGGCUGGGGGCUGUGUUCCCUGCCCAUCCAACCCCACCCCUGGGGACCCUCAGACACAGGAGAGGGGUGUGGAGCACUAUCCCAAUGCACAGAAAGGAAAGCUGAGGUUUGGAGGGGCGAGGCUUAGGGUGGGGACCCUCAGAGGUAGGGUGGGAAGGACACCCAAGCCUGUCCCACUCCUGGCAUCCCAGGGCAGCUGGUGCAGUGGUUCCAACCUAGCAGGACUGUAGAGGGGAGAAGAUGUGAUGGGUCCGGUGGGAGCUUCGAAGGGCUGGGAGAGACGGUGCUGCUGGAAGAGAGGGUGCUGAUGGUUCUCUGAGGUUGGAAGAGGGAUAAAAGGGUCAGAAGGAGGAGGAUCUGAAGAAGGAAGAUAGGUCUGAGAGAGAAGUAGAUGGUUUAGUGGGAGGAGGGGGAGAGGAUCUGAAGGAGGAGGACAGGGUCUGUUGGAGGAGGUAAGGGUCUGAUGGAGGAAAUAAGGGUCUGAGGGUGGAGGCGAGGUUUGGAGGGAGGAGGUGAAGGUCUGAGGGAGGAGACAAGGGUCUGAAGGAGGAGAUAAGAGUCUGAGGAAGGAGGCGAGGGUUUGAGAGAGGAGGUGAGGGUCUGAAGGAGGAGGUGGGGGUCUGAGGGAGGAGGUGAGGGUCUGAGAGGAGGUGAGGCUCUGAAGGAGGAGGUGGGGGUCUGAGGGAGGAGGUGAGGGUCUGAAGGAGGAGAUAAGCAUCUGAGGAAGGAGGUGAGGGUUUGAGAGAAUAGGUGAGGGUUUGAAGGAGGAGGUAAGGGUCUGAGGGAGGAGGAGAGAGUUGGAGGGGAAAGAAGGGUCUGAGGAAAGAAGAUUUGGAGAGAGUCUGAGGGUAGAGGCCAGAUCUGAGGGAGAAGAAAGAGGCUCAGGGGAAAAGAUCUGAGGGUCCGAGGGUGGAAGGCAUGGACUAGGGGAGGAGGAGCUGGUGGGGUGGAGGGGUGGAGAGGCGUGCCUCCGGAGCCAGCAGGGACCAAGGGGAGGGAAGGGAAGGGAGGCUGGGAGGCAGCCCCGCCCUGCAGCUGUCUCUAAUUUCCCAGAAUCUUCUGCUCUCAGGAAAGUCCCAGCUCCCACAGCAGCCUCCCUCCAAUGUCGGGAACGGAGGAUGCGGAACCAGGAUGGCCACCCCCACCCUCCCCCGGCUCCUUGCACCCCAGGCGGAAAGGACUAGGGUCUCCUUUCUCUGGGCCUUGGCCUCUGGAGGGCCCCCACCCGCAGGGGCAGCCCCUGGAUGAGUCUUAGAAACUUCCCAGAGGAGGCCAGGAAGUUCUGCUUGGUGUCUAACCACUUUCCCCUCAUGCAGGCCGCCCUUUGUACCUGUUCAGAUCUCCUCCCCAGCUGCUGUUUCUUUUUCCCCAACCCAUCCUGGGGGAGGAAAGGCCAGGAAUUUACCUGCUCAAAGUCCUGAGAGGGAAACGAAAUUCCAUCUGGAAGUCUGUAGGCUUGAGGCAGCUUUCUUGCUCUCAGGGGCCUCAAUUUCCCUUUCUAAGAGGAGAGAGUAGGGCUGGUCAGGGCCUAAGUUCCCAUCUGGCUCAAUUACUGGGUCUUGUCCUGCUUUUUUUUUGAGACAAGAUCUGGCUCUGUCUCCCAGGCUGAAGUGCAGUGGUGAGAUCAUAGCUCACUGUAGCCUUGAACUCCUGGACUCAAAUGAUCCUCCUGCCUCAACCUCCCAAGUAGGUGGGACUACAGGCAUGUGCCGCAAUGACUGGCUAAUAAAAAAAACAAUUUGUAGACUCAGGGGGUCUCACUGUGUUGCCCAGGGUGUUCUCGAACUCCUGGGCUCAAGCGAACCUCCCUCCUCGGUCUCCCAAAGUGCUGGGAUUACAGGCGUGAGCCACCGCAUCUGGCUU